CUUGAACCCGCGUCCCCUGCAUUGGCAGGAGGAUUCUUAACCACUGCGCCACCAGGGAAGCCCCCUUCCUACUUGUUGAAUAGGAAGCUCUUUCUAGUCUGUCUUCUAACUAGUUUCACAAGGAACCAUAGAAGUACUUUUAAAGGUUUUUUUUAAUGUAACUCAUGAUGAAUGCAAAUUGUGAAAGUUCAGAUCUUUCUAAAUUGUAAAUUUAAAUGUCUACCAGAAUAGUAGUAAUGAUGGUGAAAUGUAGACUACUAUUCAAUAUCAAUUUUUUUCUAUAUAUCAUCUCCCUUUAUAUUCAAAGAUGACACUUCUGAGUUAGAAAAGACAAUCUGACUUCUUUUACCUUUUGCAGUUCAGCCAUUAACAAACCUCAAAACCUUUCAAUUUUCUGCCAGUUAAAUUUGAAAUUGGCCUGAAACCUUUGCUUAAAAUGAAUUACCCCUAUUUUAUUCAGGAUUUUUGCCUAUUGCAACUGAUUUUCCUUCGUCCACAGCUAUUUUACAUAAUGUUAUGUAAUUUUUUUUGCAUCCUUAACACUUUUCUUCCACCUUCCCUGCUUGUAGUUUGUGCUUUCUACAGUUUGGGGUUCCUUUGGAAUCCAUUCUCUGCAUCUGUUCAUACAUAGAUUUAUUUGCCACGGUCCAGGACCUUACUGCAAGUGGUUCUGUUCCCCAAUUUGCUGAUGUUCACAGAGGCAGGUAAGUGACAUAGCUGGGGCCACAUGUAAGCAGCGUCAGGUCAUAGAGUCAUAUAGGACCACUGCACUAACAACUUCUGAUAGGUUUGGAGCUUGAUAGCUGUAAGUGAAAAGGAGCUAGAAAUGUGGAAUUAAAUUCCCUGGAUCAGCAUCCAUUACAGGAAGGAAUGAGAUGUUUGAGUUGAUUCUUUUCUAUUUUCUCUUCCUAGAAAUAGUGUGUGUUUUUGGUCUUGCUUACUUUAAUAUUCCAGAAAAUUUUAUUCCUCUUUGAAAAUAAACAGGUGGAAUGCCCCUGAUGACAUUCACUCAGAAAGUGCCUUGCUCUCCUUUCAGGGAAAUUGAAUUUUACAAAUUAAUUCUGGACGUUUCCCCUACAAUUGAUUUCCUUCUGUACCAUUAAAUGACCAUUUGUAUUCUCCUCUUCUGGGUAUCAUAUUUGUACUUAAACCUACAUUGGUCACUGUUGAGUUGUGUUUGAGCAGUGUUUGUUAUGCUAAAAAGGACUUUGGGCUUGGGAGAACUCAUCCUGUGUCUAGAUUGACAUCUAGAACUCUAGGGAUUCCUGUUCCUCUGGGCUAUUGUUUACCUUUUCCAAUCAAAUACUUCUGAACUAAUCCCAAGGGCUUUUUCCUGACGUUGUGGACUGGGAGCAGAAAUGCUGCCUUAGUGAGAGAGGUCCAGGAAGCAGUAAGCUUCAUCUUUCCUCAGCCUGCCUGGCCUAUGGUGAGUUUGGGAGUGUUGACAGAGUUCUGAGCCUUCUUGGCAGAGAAGGAAGGUCAGAAAGAGAGAAGUCCAAGGGCAGGGGGCCAGGUCCUUAUUUGCCUCGUUAGGGAGAAUUCACUGUUGUCUGUCUGGUUGGCAGGACAUACCUAAUCACAGAGACCCAGCAUUUCAGCAGUUUGCAAAGGAAAGUGAUAUGAAGGGACAGCUGCAAAUCAGCCACAACAUAGAUCUGAGGAGAUCAAGCAUUUACUUCACUUGGAAGAAAGAAGGAAGGAAGCUGAGGGCUUAGCAGGGAUCCCCAGUGACGAGCUUCACUCACCCUUCUCUACCCUACUCCCUAAAGACAUUUUUUGUUUGCUGGUGAAUUUGAGAAAAUUAGAUGGGCCUCACUGGUCUGGAGAUGGUGAGAAGAUGACUGUGAUUUAGGAGACACAGGUUUGAGCCCUGGUUCCGGAAGAU